CAAUGAAUGACGUCUUCUAUGGAAUUUUCGCGAAUUUGUACCGUAAACGAGGAUCAAGCACGUCACACGCGACUACCGACACUACGUUGCGUCUUUUUAAUUUAAAACAACAAAUUUCGACAUUUUUACGACGUCGGGUUUUGACAACGGGUCUCGUAGAAAUUACGGGCCACCUGCACAUGAGAUGGUCUUGUGGGCCCUGGACCCAAGCCCAAAACCCACAUGCCUAAACCCGCACAUAAUAUAUUAAACCUCUCAAGAUCUCUACAAAUCCCACAAGAUCAUACUAAAACCUAACAAAAUCUAUAAGAUUUUGAUAAAUCUUACAAAUCUGUCCAAAAUCUUGAAAAAUCUCUUCAAGAGAUUUUGAGUCAUUGGAUAAAAAAUGUGACCAGGUAAUUUGAAUAUAUAAGGGACAAUAACAAUUCUACACCUCUCUAUAUAAGGACCCAUACCCCCCUUAUUUUUCAUACAAUCAAACACACCCACCAUCAAAUAGAUGCCUCUCUCUCUCUCUCGAUUCCUAAGCAGUAACCACAAAAAAAAAAUAAAUAAAUAAAUAAAUAAAUAAAACAUUAUCCUCUCAAAAUGUUGCCUCUCAUCUCUCUCGAACCAUACAAAGAAACACAGAGAGUUCAUGCUCUCAAUUACACACAUAAGUCAAAAUCAUGAUCAUCUCUCAAAUCCUCAUUUUCUCAAAACAACAACACAGACACACAAACAAGCAGCUGACCCCCCCCCCCUUGAUCUUCAUGAUUCCCGACAACCGGAGGUCACCGGCGGACCCCCACCACGUCCGGUGGUGGUGAGCGACGAAGAGAGAGAGAGCCGAGCAGAGAGAGAGAUUCGGAGGAGAGAGAGAGACUCGGGAGGAGAGAGAGAGGAGCCGGAGAGAAAGAGAGAGGGAAAAACCGGCGGUCGGAGGUUCGGACCGCCGGUCUGUCCAGUUACCCGGUGGACGGUGUGAGAAGUCUGCGGUCCAAGGCGUUGUCCGACGAGUUUUCCGUUACUGUCGUUUCAGGUGGCGGUGGUGGGUGUCGGAGCCGGCCGGUGUCGGGGUAGCCGGCGACUAUGGCAGCGGUGUUGGUCCGAUGGUUGGCUCGAUUUGGGUUCAGUUUGGGUUCUUAUUCAGUUUCGGGUUAAACCCGGUUAACAACAGACAAUGACUUUGGUUCGUGUCACGACUCAGUUUUGUGUUCGGGUCACUAUACAGUUUCGGGUGCGGUUCAGUGCGACUCAACUCAGCUCGGUUUGGUUGACUCGGUCAAACCAAGUCAACUCGGUCAACCGAGUCAACUCAGCAAGUCAACUCAGCGAGUUGACUCGGUCAGCUCGGCUUUCGACACGAAGACUGGAAUAUUGUAGAACGCACGCUAGCAAGUCUCGUCUUGGAAACGACAUCGCGAAGUCGUA